GACGAACGCUGGCGGCGUGCUUAACACAUGCAAGUCGAACGGAAAGGCCCUGCUUUUGUGGGGUGCUCGAGUGGCGAACGGGUGAGUAACACGUGAGUAACCUGCCCUUGUCUUUGGGAUAACUUCAGGAAACUGGGGCUAAUAUCGGAUAGGAGCUCCCGCUGCAUGGUGGGGAUGGGAAAGUUUCGGCGGUAGGGGAUGGACUAGCGGGUUAUCAGCUUGUUGGUGGGGUAGUGGCUGACCAAGGCUUUGACGGAUAGCCGGCCUGAGAGGGUGAACGGCCACAUUGGGACUAAGAGAGGGAGCAGACUCGAACGGGAGGCAGCAGUGGGGAGUAUUGCACAAUGAGCGGGAGCCUGAUGCAGCAACGCCGCGUGCGGAAUGACGGCCUUCGGGUUGUGAACCGCUUUCGCCUGUGACGAAGCGUGAGUGACGGUAAUGGGUAAAGAAGCACCGGCUAACUACGUG
rnacentral:rRNA from 1 species